UACGUAGGUGGCAAGCGUUGUCCGGAUUUACUGGGCGUAAAGGGCGCGUAGGCGGCCACCGCAAGUCGACUGUGAAAUCUCCGGGCUUAACCCGGAAAGGUCAGCCGAUACUGCGGGGCUAGAGUGCAGAAGGGGCAACUGGAAUUCUCGGUGUAGCGGUGAAAUGCGUAGAUAUCGAGAGGAACACCUGCGGCGAAGGCGGGUUGCUGGGCUGACACUGACGCUGAGGCGCGAAAGCGUGGGGAGCAAACAGG
rnacentral:rRNA from 1 species